rnacentral:sRNA from 12 species
UACACCGCUGGACGUUGAAAAACGUAUAUGCCGCCAUAACUGGUAUGGCUAGUGGAAAUUAACUUGAUGCAGGACAGACAGUAAAGCGGUCGCACCUGCUGUCUGUAAAGGAUAGAA